rnacentral:tRNA from 1 species
GGGCCCGUGGUCUAGUGGUUAUGACGUCACCCUUACAAGGUGGAGGUCCCCAGUUCAACUCUGGGCGGGCCCA